UAACAAAUCAAUUAAUCAGUAUUGUGUUCCCAAGGUCCACUGGGAUUUUCCACUCGGUAAGUAGAACAGUUCAUUAAUAUAAUUGGGAACAAUCCUUAAAUUGACGGAACAGAAACUGUUCAAUCAGGUGAAGAAGUUGUGUUUGGAAGCUGUAGAAGUGAAAGGUAGCAGUUUCGUGAUAAAUCACAGCAGACACUAUAAAAAUAGAACUUGCUGCACUAAAUGUGUAGUAGGCAGGCUAAGAUAGAUCAUUACAUUCAAGUUUAUUCAUUUAUCCACAUUUAAUCACACAAGCAAAUAGAGGAGAUCGUAUGAUAUUUGGAAAUUGUGUUUUUUAAGUUCCCAAACUGACAGUAGCACUUUAAUACUUUAGCCAUUUAUAAAUGUUCAGAUGAGGAACCGUGUUGCCAGAUUGGUGUGUUUUCCAGUAAUUGUUCAAAACCCACACAAAAAACUCUAUAGUAAAUACACAAAUCUUACCAACAACAGUACAAAUAAAUUUUGACAAUGAAUUGAUUAAAAAAGACAACAAAACUGUGGCGCAUCACAUAUUUACAAUAUAAUAACGCAAAUGAAGUGUUCUUGUCUAAAGAAGGUUACGUUUAACUACGUUGUAAACUUUUUUCCAUGUCUGUCAUUUAGCACAUCAGAAAUAUUAAAAUCCCACCUGUCUAAUCCCAUUUCAUCCCAUAUGGUACAACUUAAAACCACCACAAUCUGCCCAGUCUGCCAACACUGAUGAAGAAAAUCGGGUCCUUCAGAUUUGCCAGCUUCCAACAUCCCUCUUUUAUUUGAAUCCCCCCACCCCACCAUGGAGCAGCCAGAGAGCCUUACAAAAAAGUCAGAGACAGUAUUUACACUCAACCUUGUUUCUCUCUCUUCCCCAUGUUCUCCAACUUCUCUCUCUCCUGCCUUCUCUACUAGUUUUACAGCUGUUCUUACUACACUCUUCUCCUACUCCACCUUCACUGCCAUGUUCUAGGUCUUUGCAACAGAGGAGGAAAAGGACAAAAACCUUAAUCGGUUCACUGGCACCUUCUGCCACCACUGUCUCUCCCUUCCACAGUCUUGUCCUCCAACUGCUUCCUCUUCCACCUCCCAGUCCUUGAGUCAGGAGGGGCCAUAUGUGAAGAAGGGAAGAAAAGGCUGAUGAAAAUGUAGUAGGCAGAAGAUCUUCCUAUUUGAUAAAACAACCAGGAAAAGAACAAAUGAGGGAAAAGCGGAAUUGAAAGUCCACUGGUUGCCUUGCACUGUGUGUGGAAUAACUUGGGAUGACACCUGGGAGCCUGCCAGCGAGUUCCAGCAUUUUUUUGCCAGAGUCUCCAAACACCAACCAGCUUUCAGAACGUCAAUUUUGAGUGUUUUGUCGUUGUUGUUUUUUGUUCUUGCUGUACCUUAUUAAAGUUUUUGUACAGUGCA